CCUGCCCAAGAGAUCGGGAUAACACCUGGAAACAGAUGCUAAUACCGGAUAACAACAGAUGAUGCCUAUCAACUGUUUAAAAGAUGGUUCUGCCAUCACUCUUGGAUGGACCUGCGGUGCAUUAGCUAGUUGGUAGGGUAACGGCCUACCAAGGCGAUGAUGCAUAGCCGAGUUGAGAGACUGAUCGGCCACAUUGGGACUGAGACACGGCCCAAACUCCUACGGGAGGCAGCAGCA
rnacentral:rRNA from 1 species